CCCUUAGAUGUUCUGGGCUGCACGCGCGCUACACUGACGCACGCAACAGGUGCCUGCUCCGAGAGGACUGGGUAAUCAUUUGAGUGUGCGUCGUGAUGGGGAUAGAAUAUUGUAAUUAUUACUCUUCAACGAGGAAUUCCUAGUAAGCGCCAGUCAGCAGCUUGCGCUGAUUACGUCCCUGCCCUUUGUACACACCGCCCGUCGCUCCUACCGAUGGGUGAUCCGGUGAAUGAUUCGGACUUCAGCGGCUCCCCUGGGGUGCGCCGGAGAAAGUUUUGUGAACCUUAUCACUUGGAGGAAGGAGAGGUCGUAACG
rnacentral:rRNA from 1 species